AACACACACUGAUAAACCGCAAAAAAACCAAAAACAGAAGAGAACAUAAAAUAUAUGAUGAAUUAUGAACAAUCUUUUCUUCCCAUUUUGCCCUCCCAUCGCCGCCGGCAAUUCCUUAGCCAUUUUUAGGGUUUUAUUAGGGAAACUCUAAGAGAGAAGGUAUAGUCGUGGAGAGGUCUCCGACGAAAUAAACAAAAGUAAAAACGACGUUGUGGGGGUAGUGAACUAGGGCUUUAAAGACAGAGAAGUUUCAAAGAUUGAAACCGGUGUACAUGGCUCCAGGGCGGAAGCGAGCAAAAGGCGGUGGCUCUGCAGGAGGAGAAGGCGGAGGAGGAGGGGGACCUAAGUCGAAAGCUCAAUUGAAUAUAGGCGAUCUUGUCCUCGCCAAAGUCAAGGGCUUUCCUGCUUGGCCCGCCAAGAUAAGCAGACCUGAAGACUGGGAUCGAGCUCCUGAUCCAAAAAAAUAUUUUGUUCAAUUCUAUGGUACAGAAGAAAUAGCUUUUGUUGCUCCUGCGGAUAUUCAGGCAUUUACAAGUGAUUCCAAGAAUAAAUUGUCAGCUCGUUGCCGAGGGAAGACAGUUAAAUACUUUGCACAAGCUGUGAGGGAAAUUUCUGAAGAAUUUGAACGGUUGCAACAUCAAAGUCCAAGUGGCCUCAGAGAUGAUAAAAGUCCAUUGGCAUUUGUAACUGAUGUGCAUUCUGCCGAUGGGGAAAUAGGUGAUGCUAUAGAGGCUGAUCUAAAGGAAGUGAGUGGGAAUAAGGGAAUUAAUCAGCCAACAGAGGUCAGAGGCUUGGGUGACCAUGGCACUGGCUCUCAGAGACAAGAGGAGAUAGACCAUAGGGACAUAAAGUCCACCUUUGAUGAUGGAAAUGGGGGUUUGUCUAAGAGGAGCAAGUUUUGUGAUGGUCGCGCUGAUUUAGUGAAAAAGGAGGUGAUGUCAACAUCUAUUUCAAGCCGUCGUUCGCUUCAUAAGGAAACUUCUUGUGAAAGGAGAGUUGAAGAGUCUUCUUCAAGGCAAAUGAGUCAUGGAGGGGGCUCAAAGGUUAGUGAAAACUAUUCUCCUGAUGCGGCAGAAGAAGGUUUGUCAGCUUCAUUGUCCUCAGAGCAUGAGAACUAUCCUGAUGUUGCAGAUGAUUUUAGAAAUGGACGCAAACCAAGGGUAGCUUCUGGAGAUGAGGCUGACAAAAGAAUUGGAUUUGGUGGCAAGCAGUCAUCUCAGAAUUUGGUGAAAAGUGAUGGUGGGAAAAAAGUGAAAAAAUUGUUGAAAGAUAAUAAGAAUUUUGAUCUGAAGGAUAAGCCUCAGAUAGAUGUUGAAGAAAGUUCUGUUGAUGAGGUUAAGUUUUCCAGCAAGAAACAAGGGCAAGGAAAACAAAUUUCAAAAAGUAAUGAAGUCUUAGAUCCUGCCAGAAGGUCAAAAUGUGAUGAUGUGACUGAUGAUUCCAAGGUGUCACUGCAAAGCAGAAAGGUUGAGGCCCAAAUGAAGAAUAAAAAAAUGGUAGAAGUAGAGGGUAAAAGGUCUGUAGUGCUGGGGAAAGGAGAAAGUCAACUGGACAUGAGAACUCUAUCGAGCACUACUGAUUCCAAUCUUUCUGGUGAUGAAGAUGUUCUCCCUCCACCAAAGCGCCGUCGUCGUGCCAUGGAGGCUAUGUCCACCGCCUCUGCUUUGAAUUUUGAAACUAGAAUUGGAAGAAGUUCUGCUGUACUGAAGAAUGACAUGUCAAGGCGGAGAGCUGUUCGCCUAUGCGAUGACGACGAAGAAGAAGAGCCCAAAACUCCUGUUCAUGAAGGGUCUACAAAGAAAGUCUUGGCUACUGUGCAUGGACCGGUUUCUACAAAGAGAGGCGACGUACAUACUUCUUUUUCUGAUCAAUUUAGCAAAAGAGGUUCUGGUCCACCUGAGGGUCAAUCUUCUAAGAAAUUGGUAGUAUCUGGUGAUCAAUUGGUUGAGCACUUGUCUCCUAAUUCUCAGCAAACUGAGGAGAAGAAGCAAGGGAAAGCAACGGCUUUCCACAUUUCUAAUAGUCCUGGAAAACUAGAGUCUGAGAAAGUAUCUCUCAAGGAAAGUAAACAGGUUUCUGUUUCCCCUAGAAGUUCCCCUCUCUCUUUUUCUGCUGUUAAAUCAGUGACAGACCUUCAAAAGUCCUACAAGCUCUCGGGUAAGGUUCCUAGCAACAUGCAUCAGAGAAAGGCUACGGCAUCUGACCCUGGUGUGACUUCUGAGUGCUUGAACUCAACAGCUAAUCAGCAAAAUGAAAGAUGCACGCCAGAAAUUUCCGCAGACAGAAACAAAGCUACUCCAAAAUCACAUCCUAAGACCAAUGAUGUUCCUCUUCCAUUAGGAAUGACGGAAAAUCGUUUCUUACAGGGGGAAAGAUCUGAAGAUGGUAAAGAUGACAAACUAAGUUCGUCAAUUGAUCAAAGAUCUUCGGAUUCUGUUUUGUCUAUGAAACAUCUUAUUGCAGCUGCUCAGGCCAAAAAGAAACAAGCUCAUUUGCAGAACUUCAGUGACAACCCUAAUUUUCUUCUGGCACUAAACACUGAUGAACCGGUGAGGACCCCUAGCCCUGCUCCUGUUGCUCAGCCUAUGGGGUCCAGCAGCAUGGCACCUUCAGAUGUACAGGGAUUUCUUCCUAAAUCAUCGAUGAUUUCUCCUCCAUCUGAUGUAUAUCAUGCUUCGUCAACUAAUCAACAUGACACUGAAGAAUUUGUAGAGGGGAUUAGUUCUGGGCAUCGGACUGCUGGGGGUUCGCUUAGUGGUGGUACUGAGGCUGCUGUUUCUCGUGAUGCCUUUGAAGGAAUGAUAGAGACAUUGUCAAGGACAAAAGACAGUAUUGGACGUGCUACACGUCUUGCUAUUGAUUGUGCAAAGUAUGGCCUUGCCAAUGAGGUGGUUGAACUUCUCAUUCGGAAAUUGGAGAGCGAGUCAAGUUUUCAUCGGAAAGUGGACCUGUUUUUCCUUGUGGAUUCAAUAACUCAAUGCUCUCAUAGUCAUAAAGGCAUUGCAGGAGCUUCUUACAUACCUGCUGUUCAAGCAGCACUGCCUCGUCUCUUAGUUGCUGCUGCACCACCUGGACCCGGUGCUCGUGAAAAUCGUCGUCAGUGUCUAAAGGUUCUGCGGUUGUGGCUUGAGAGGAAAAUUUUGCCUGAUUCUCUUCUGCGACGUUAUAUGGAAGAUAUUGGAGUAGUAAGCGAUGAUACAUCUUCUGGGCUGUCCCUUAGACGUCCAUCCCGAGCUGAGCGGGCUAUAGAUGAUCCUAUUAGGGAAAUGGAAGGCAUGCUGGUUGAUGAGUAUGGGAGCAAUGCUACAUAUCAGUUGUCUGGAUUUUUCUCAUCUCAUGUCUUCGAAGAAGAAGAGGAAGAGGAGGAAACUCACCAUACUGCGGUCCAGGAAGCUGCAGAUUUAUCACCUCCGCAACGUACCCCUGCCGCAGGAGAUUUUGACAAUUAUAAUUUCACUCCAAAUGAGAAACGUCACCACAUCUUAGAGGAUGUCGAUGGUGAACUUGAAAUGGAAGAUGUUUCUGGACACCAGAAGGAUGAAAGAUCACCAAUGACUGGUGAUACCUUGGGGACUGAUCCAAGUAAUGUAACUUCCGUCAAGAUUGGCGAAUCAACUCUAAGCAUACCUUUUGAAUUGCCUCCUCUUCCUGAGGGUUCUCCACCUCUGCCUCUAGAUUCUCCUCCAGCAACCCCACCUUUGCCAUCUUCACUGCCUCCGUCACCUCUGCAGCCUCCAAUGCCACCUGCAAUGCCCUUGUCUCCGGCUCCGGCUCCGGCUCCGGCUCCAGCUCCAGCUCCAGCUCCUCCACCACCGCCCCUCUUGCAGCCACAUGCAAUUCUGCCGUCUAUUGGUCUUCCUCCCCCAGUAUUGCCUCAACCAUCUUUACCACCUCAGCCUUCAAUGGCCUCUCAACAUGUAAACCUGCUUCCAUCUUCAAAUUUAGCCUCAUCGGUGGCAGCAUAUCAAAAUGGUCCUGUGCUACCGGAAAUUGGUGGAAACCCUGGUGUGAACCCUCUUACAAAAGUGGCUGGAAAUGCUUCUCACGGACCUCCUGUUGAUGCAUCUGUGAGAAAUGAAAUGUUUGCUCAACAGGGACCUAGCUUUGUGCCAAUUGGUGUAGGAACCACACAAGAACCCUCUCGAUAUAGUUCAACUAGGUCUUUGGAAUAUGGGCAUAGUAACAUGUAUGCAAAUUCACUAGCUUCUCAACCCAAUAUGCAAUUCCAGCCUGGAAAUGUGCCUUUCACUCAAAGGCCUUUGCCUCCAAACCCCCCACCUCAAGGUACACCAAGUCAUUUCUCAUAUCCAGUGCCCACAAUCCGGCAUCAUUCUCCCGCUGUUCAGCAUCAUCCUCCUCCGAUUCAGAAUCCCUUGCCUCCUGUGCAGCAUCCUCCACCUCACUCCUAUACUCUGCAAUAUUCUGUGCCUAAUUUUGCUGAUGGAUCAAGGCAUUUUUCUGUUGAUGAACAAUGGAGGAUGAGACCUAGUGACUUGAACUCUGAUCAGCGUGGUGUGUGGAUGCAUGGAGUGAGAUCAUGUUCGGGUCCAGCUUAUACCCAGGAUGGUUAUCCUAUGCCACCUCCAGAGAAGCCCUCUGUUGGUGCUGCUAGUUUUCAACCACCAGUCCUGAACACAUAUCCAAGUGGUACUUCAGUCCCAGGUCAUGGUGUAAAUAACAUAAUUCCUGGCAGACCAGAUAUGUCUGCGUUCAGUUGGAGGCCUGCUUAAAAGUGGAGAGUCCUUUAGAGCCGUGGCUGUGGGAGAUCAUUGAUACUGGAUUUUUCGGGGAAACUCACCACCCAAUGCUUAUCUGUAACUUGCGAAUUGGAUCACAGCAAAAUGAAUGUGUUCAGAAGUUUUGAUGACCCUUAACAGGAUUGUGUAUAUUGUAAUUUUCCUGACAAAAGCAUCCUGCAAACAUAUGCUUCGAAUUCAAUGCUACAUUUCUGUUGCCUUGCUUUUUCCCAACUCGUGUCUUUCAAGAAGAAGAGGAAUAGGAAAUCAAUCGUCCUGCAUUCAAGGAAGCUGCUGAUUUAUCAUAUCCACAGCAUACCCCUGGUGCAGGAGAUUUUGACAAUUUCUAUUCCCUCCAAAUGAGAAAUGCCACAUCUUAGAGGAUGUAGAUGGUCAGCUUGAAAUGGGAUGUGUCUGAACACCAAAAGGAUCAAAGAUCAUCAAUGACUGGUGAUGCCUCGGGGACUGAUCCUAGUAAUGCAAGUUUGGUCAAGAUAGUCAAAUCAACUCUAAGCAUCCCUUUUGAAUUGCCUACUGUUCCUGGGGCAUUUCCUCCACAGCCUGUAGAUUCUCCUGCAACCCCACCUUUGACAUCCUUACUGCCUCUUGUCAUCACUGCAGCCUCCACUCUCCCAUUGUCUCGAGCUCCACAUCCUCCGUCGCCAGCCCUAUUGGAGCCACGUGCAAUUCUGUCCUCCUUAAGUUUUGCCUCAACCAUAUCUACCAUCGCUGCCGUCAAUGGCGUCUCAACAUUUAACCUGCAUCCGUGUUCAAUUUUAGCCUUAUCGGUGGUGGCAUAUCAAAAUGGUCCUGUGUUAACUGAAAUUGGUGGAAACCCAAGUAUAAGGGUUGAGACUUUCCUUCCCUUCAUACUCUAAUUGCUGCUCAUCCACCAGGGUUAUGGGACAGCAUGGAUGUAAAUUUUUUUUUUUUAUUUAUUUAUUAACAGGGAAACCCUCUUACAGAAUUGGUUGGAAAUGCUUUUCAUGGAUCUCUUAUUGACGAAAUGUUUGCUCAGCAGGCACCUUUUGUGCCAAUUGGUGUAGAAAGCUCACAAGAAUGCUUUUGAUAUUAUUGAACAAGGUCUUUGGAAUAUGCAAUUCCAACAAGGUCUCUGGAAUAUGCUCUUGAUAUUAUUGAACAAGGUCUUUGGAUAUGAUAAGGUGUGCAAAUUUACUAGCUGCUGAACCCAAUAUGCAAUUCCAGUCUGGAAAUCUGCCUUUCGCUCAAAGGCCUUUGCCACCAUGCCUCCAACCUCAAUGUACACCAAUUCAUUUAUCCUGUCCACAGUCCAUAAUCCAGCGACUUUCUCCUGCAGCUCAGUUUCAUCAUCUUCCAGUUCAGAAUCCUCUGCCUGUUAUGCAGCAACCUCCACCUCCUAAUUUUGCUGGUGGACCAAGGCAAUUUUCUGUUGAUGAACAAUGGAGGAGGAUGAGCUUAUUGACUUUAAUUCUGAUCAUCGUGGUGUGUGGAUGCAUGGAGUGAGAUUGUGUUCAGGUCCAGCUUAUGCCCAGGAUGUUUAUCCUACACCACCUCCUGAGAAGCCCUGUAUUGGUACUGCUAAUUUUCAACCAUUGCUCCUGAGCAGGUAUCCAGGCGGUACUUCAGGACCAGGUUGUGCUAAUGACUUGAUUCCUGCUGGCCAUUUUUGUCCGCAUUCAAAGUCCUUUGGCUGUGGGAUAUCAUUGAAGCUGGAUUUUUCCCGGAUAUUCACCACCCAAUGCUUAUCCAACAUGCCAAUUGGUUGUUGACAAAAUGAAUGUUUUAAUGAUCCUCAACGGGAUUCUGUAUAAUAAUUUUUCUGACAAAAGCAAAAUAUAUGCUUUGAAAUGUUAGCAAUUUUGAUCAAGUCUUGUAAUUAUUCGAAAUUCAUUAAACAUUGCUGGCACUUUUCACAA